rnacentral:rRNA from 1 species
UACGUAGGCAGCGAGCGUUGUUCGGAAUUACUGGGCGUAAAGAGUGUGUAGGCGGUGUUCCCAGUCUGUUGUGAAAUCUCCCGGCUUAACUGGGAGGGUGCAGCGGAAACUAGAAUGCUAGAGUGCGGGAGAGGAAAGUGGAAUUCCUGGUGUAGCGGUGAAAUGCGUAGAUAUCAGGAGGAACACCGGUGGUGUAGACGGCUUUCUGGACCGUAACUGACGCUGAGACACGAAAGCGUGGGUAGCAAACAGG